GACGAACGCUGGCGGCGUGCCUAACACAUGCAAGUCGAGCGGAGUCGAUCGACGGAAGCCUUCGGGCGGAAGAUGGUUGACUUAGCGGCGGAUGGGUGAGUAACGCGUGGGCAACCUGCCUCGAAGACCGGGAUAACAGCCCGAAAGGGCUGCUAACACCGGAUGUGGUCAAGGAUCCGCAUGGAUUUUUGAUUAAAGGGGAAACCCGUUUCGAGAUGGGCCCGCGUCCUAUCAGCUAGUUGGUGAGGUAAAAGCUCACCAAGGCGACGACGGGUAGCCGGCCUGAGAGGGUGACCGGCCACACUGGAACUGAGACACGGUCCAGACUCCUACGGGGGCAGCAGUGGGGAAUCUUCCACAAUGGGCGAAAGCCUGAUGGAGCGACGCCGCGUGAGCGAAGAAGGCCUCGGUUGUAAGCUCUGUCUGGAGGGACGAAGGAAGUGACGGUACCUCCGGAGGAAGCCACGGCUAACUACGUGCCAGCAGCCGCGGUAAAUAGCGUACU
rnacentral:rRNA from 1 species